rnacentral:lncRNA from 1 species
GCAUAGUUGGGGGAAGCAGUGGAUUUAUUCAUUUAUUGAGACGAAAUGAAGCGUUGAGAAAUGUUCAUAAACAACAUGUACAGUUUCGGGAUAUAUCCAAAUUGUCACAGCCUGUUGAUGAAGAUCCUCGGCUUAUUAUACAGAGGUCAGGCUUGAGCUAUGUGCUGAUUCAAAAGAUGCUAAUGACAGUGGAUAAUCCAUUCUGAGUUGUUCUAGGAUCAUUCACCAACGUUUCAAAACACUGAUGGAACUGAAGGCAGUACAUGUACUGGUGUCUGGCCUGUGAUUUCAAGUAUAGACUAUAAUUGAUGUACCUCCUCCUGAUGUAUCUCCUUGAAUACAAUAUAUCUGCCAUGUGAAAGGAACAAGCUGCAAGAUAUACUGUGGAAGUGGGGGCCUAUGUAAAAAAACAUUUUAUUUAAA